UAAUACGGAGGGUCCAAGCGUUAUCCGGAUUCAUUGGGUUUAAAGGGUGUGUAGGCGGAAAGGUCAGUCAGUGGUGAAAUCCUGCAGCUUAACUGUAGAACUGCCAUUGAUACUUCCUUUCUUGAGUCUAGUUGAAGUGAGCGGAAUGUGUCAUGUAGCGGUGAAAUGCAUAGAUAUGACACAGAACACCGAUUGCGAAGGCAGCUCGCUAAGCUAGUACUGACGCUGGGGCACGAAAGCGUGGGUAGCAAACAGGAUUAGAUACCCUGGUAGUCCACGCCGUAAACGAUGAUUACUCGAUGUUGGCGAUAUAAUGUCAGCGUCCAAGCGAAAGUGUUAAGUAAUCCACCUGGGGAGUACGGUCGCAAGAUUG
rnacentral:rRNA from 1 species